GGAACAUCCUGUCUGAGAAAAACAGAAGGAAGAGAAGGAAGGGUAGGACACAGGGGAUUGGCUGGAGCCAGUGCUGAGGGUUCUGGGAUGCAUUCUUUGGAGGAUUCAGCACAUCCCUCACCGAUCUCAAGCUUUCCUUCCUCCUCUUCUAAACAUGUCAGCUGAUAAGGGGAGCUGGCAGAUAGUACUCUGCAGCUGAACCCAGUGGUCUUCUUUCAAUGGCAGGAUAUCCUCAGGUGACUUACAGGGACUGGGUGUGUGAACUACGCAUCAGCUGCAGAGAGUCACUUACCACAAUGUCUCACCUGAAAGAUGGAGCACAAGGAGGUCAAGUUACUGAGGGUCACACAGUGAGUCAGUGGCUGAGCUGGGAUUUGAACCAGGGACCUCCUGGUUAUAAGCCCUUUUCUUUAACUACCGAACCACACAGCAUCCUUUACAACCUAUUACAACUAUUAUCAGUUUGAGAAACAAAAGAAAAACUAGAGGACGUCAUUAAGCCUGUCAAUGCUUGUCCUGUUAAGUAGUAUUGACAGUAUCUGCUUCUUGUCACCCUUUUUGCCCAGUCUGUUUGAAGUGAUAUUAAAAGGAUUUGACUGUAUUUGGCCCUAACCCUUCGUGUGGAUAUUGCUGGUAAUGCAGGUAUUAUACUCAGUCUUUUCUGAAAGUGUUCCCAGCUGUUAAAGUGGGUGUAGACGGGGCUUAUCAAAUAUUAAAGGUCUUAUUGAGGAGAGACACACACCCAUUAUCAGUUGAAGGAAUGCUUCUCUC